GACGAACGCUGGCGGCGUGCUUAACACAUGCAAGUCGAACGGAAAGGCCUCUUUCGGGGGGUACUCGAGUGGCGAACGGGUGAGUAACACGUGAGUAACCUGCCCUUGACUUUGGGAUAACUUCAGGAAACUGGGGCUAAUACCGGAUAGGAGCUCCUGCUGCAUGGUGGGGGUUGGAAAGUUUCGGCGGUUGGGGAUGGACUCGCGGCUUAUCCGCUUGUUGGUGGGGUAGUGGCUUACCAAGGCUUUGACGGGUAGCCGGCCUGAGAGGGUGACCGGCCACAUUGGGACUGAGAUACGGCCCCGACUCCGACGGGAGGCAGCAGUGGGGAAUAUUGCACAAUGGGUGGAAGCCUGAUGCAGCAACGCCGUGUGCGGGAUGACGGCCUUCGGGUUGUAAACCGCUUUCGCUCAUGACGAAGCUUUGUGUGACGGUAGUGGGUAAAGAAGCACCGGCUAACUACGUG
rnacentral:rRNA from 1 species